rnacentral:rRNA from 1 species
UACGUAGGGUGCAAGCGUUAAUCGGAAUUACUGGGCGUAAAGUGUGCGCAGGCGGUGAUGUAAGACAGAUGUGAAAUCCCCGGGCUCAACCUGGGAACUGCAUUUGUGACUGCAUCGCUGGAGUACGGCAGAGGGGAUGGAAUUCCGCGUGUAGCAGUGAAAUGCGUAGAUAUGCGGAGGAACACCGAUGGCGAAGGCAAUCCCCUGGGCCUGUACUGACGCUCAUGCACGAAAGCGUGGGGAGCAAACGGG